AUUAGAGUUUGAUCCUGGCUCAGAUUGAACGCUGGCGGCAUGGCUAAAACAUGCAAGUUGAACGACCUCUUCGGAGGGCGUGGCGAAAGGGCGAGGAAUAUUAUCGAAUGUACGCCAAGCCCAAGGUAAAGGAUAGCUUCUGGAAACGGAAGGUAAUACUUUAUGUGCUCUACGGAGUAAAGGUUUACCGCCUUGGGAGCAGCGAUUGUCCUAUCAGGUUGUUGGUGAGGUAAAGGCUCACCAAGCCAAAGACGGGUAGCGGGUGUGAGAGCAUGACCCGCCGCAUCGGGACUGAGACACUGCCCGGACUCCUACGGGAGGCUGCAGUAACGAAUAUUCCGCAAUGGGCGAAAGCCUGACGGAGCAAUGCCGCGUGUAGGAUGAAGCGCCUUCGGUGUGUAAACUACUGUCAGAAUCUCGGAACACUGACCAGAUUCAAAGGAAGGCCGGCUAAACUCGUGCCAGCAGCCGCGGUAAUACGAGUGGCCCGAGCGUUAAUCGGAAUCACUGGGCUUAAAGGGUGCGCAGGCGGAUCGGAAGGCAUCUCGUGAAAGCCCCCGGCUCAACCGGGGAACUGCGGGGUGAACCGCCGAUCUUGAGACAGGUAGGGGUCAGUGGAACCAUCGGUGGAGCGGUGAAAUGCGUAGAGAUCGAUGGGAACGCCAAUGGCGAAGGCAGCUGACUGGGCCUGUUCUGACGCUCAGGCACGAAAGCGUGGGGAGCAAACAGGAUUAGAUACCCUGGUAGUCCACGCCGUAAACGAUGUGCACUAGAUCGCAGGGGCUCUCAUGUCUUUGCGGUCGAAGGAAAACCGUUAAGUGCACCGCCUGGGGAGUACGGUCGCAAGGCUAAAACUCAAAGGAAUUGACGGGGGCUCACACAAGCGGUGGAGCAUGUUGCUUAAUUCGAGGCAACGCGAAGAACCUUACCUGGGUUUGACAUGCACGGAUUAACUUUGUGAAAGCAGAGCCACACCCUUUGGGUGGAACGUGCACAGGUGCUGCAUGGCUGUCGUCAGCUCGUGCUGUGAAGUGUCGGGUUAAGUCCCUUAACGAGCGCAACCCCUAUCGUUAGUUGCUAACGCGUCAUGGCGAGAACUCUAGCGAGACUGCCGGUGUCAAACCGGAGGAAGGUGGGGAUGACGUCAAGUCCUCAUGGCCCUUAUGUCCAGGGUUGCAAACGUGCUACAAUGGCGUGGACAAAGCGACGCAAUGCCGCGAGGCGGAGCAAAUCGCAAAAACCACGCCCCAGUUCGGAUUGCAGGCUGCAACUCGCCUGCAUGAAGCCGGAAUCGCUAGUAAUCGUGGAUCAGCUACGCCACGGUGAAUACGUUCCUGAGCCUUGUACACACCGCCCGUCACGUCAUGGAAGCCGGGAGCGCCCGAAGUCGCCCCAUCUCAGGGGUGCCUACGGCGAGAUCGGUGACUGGGACGAAGUCGUAACAAGGUAACCAA
rnacentral:rRNA from 1 species